rnacentral:rRNA from 1 species
UACAGAGGUCUCAACCGUUGUUCGGAUUCAUUGGGCGUAAAGGGUGCGUAGGCGGUCGUGCAAGUCGGAUGUGAAAUCUCAGGGCUCAACCCUGAAACUGCAUUCGAUACUGCGCGGCUAGAGUGCUGGAGGGGAGACUGGAAUUUACGGUGUAGCAGUGAAAUGCGUAGAUAUCGUAAGGAAGACCAGUGGCGAAGGCGAGUCUCUGGACAGCAACUGACGCUCAUGCACGAAAGCGUGGGGAGCAAACAGG